UACGGAGGGAGCUAGCGUUGUUCGGAAUUACUGGGCGUAAAGCGCACGUAGGCGGCUUCUUAAGUCAGGGGUGAAAUCCUGGAGCUCAACUCCAGAACUGCCUUUGAUACUGAGAGCUUGAGUCCGGGAGAGGUGAGUGGAACUGCGAGUGUAGAGGUGAAAUUCGUAGAUAUUCGCAAGAACACCAGUGGCGAAGGCGGCUCACUGGCCCGGUACUGACGCUGAGGUGCGAAAGCGUGGGGAGCAAACAGG
rnacentral:rRNA from 1 species